rnacentral:rRNA from 1 species
AGCAUAUCAAUAAGCGGAGGAAAAGAAACCAACAGGGAUUGCCCCAGUAACGGCGAGUGAAGCGGCAACAGCUCAAAUUUGAAAUCUGGCCCUCGGGUCCGAGUUGUAAUUUGUAGAGGAUGCUUUUGGCGAGGUGCCUUCCGAGUUCCCUGGAACGGGACGCCAUAGAGGGUGAGAGCCCCGUCUGGUCGGACACCGAGCCUCUGUAAAGCUCCUUCGACGAGUCGAGUAGUUUGGGAAUGCUGCUCAAAAUGGGAGGUAUAUGUCUUCUAAAGCUAAAUAUUGGCCAGAGACCGAUAGCGCACAAGUAGAGUGAUCGAAAGAUGAAAAGCACUUUGAAAAGAGGGUUAAAAAGUACGUGAAAUUGUUGAAAGGGAAGCGCCUAUGACCAGACUUGAGCCCGGUGAAUCAUCCAGCGUUCUCGCUGGUGCACUUUGCCGGGCCCAGGCCAGCAUCAGUUUGGCGCGGGGGAUAAAGGUGACGGGAAUGUGGCUCCCUCGGGAGUGUUAUAGCCCGCUACGUAAUACCCUGCGCCGGACUGAGGUACGCGCAUUGCAAGGAUGCUGGCGUAAUGGUCAUCAGCGACCCGUCUUGAAACACGGACCAAGGAGUCGUCUUCGUAUGCGAGUGUUCGGGUGUCAAACCCCUACGCGUAAUGAAAGUGAACGCAGGUGAGAGCUUCGGCGCAUCAUCGACCGAUCCUGAUGUUCUCGGAUGGAUUUGAGUAAGAGCAUACGGGGCCGGACCCGAAAGAAGGUGAACUAUGCCUGUAUAGGGUGAAGCCAGAGGAAACUCUGGUGGAGGCUCGCAGCGGUUCUGACGUGCGAAUCGAUCGUCAAAUAUGGGCAUGGGGGCGAAAGACUAAUCGAACCUUCUAGUAGCUGGUUUCC